UAUUGAAUAUACAAGGUUCUUGUAAAACCUUACGGGUUCUUAGACUAAUAUGGCGUCACACUACUAAUUUCAACUUGGCGCCCUAUUGUUUAGGUAUGCAUACAUUUCGUUUCGCCCUCGUACGAACUACCUUAGAUUGUGGCCCGAUAGCCCGAAAUCCGUUUCUAAGGGUCGAGAAAAAUUAAUACUAGUUUAACUAGUCCGACAUCGGCUUC